rnacentral:tRNA from 1 species
GUUAGGAUGGCAGAGCCAGGUAAUUGCAAAAGACCUAAACCCUUUCACCAGAGGUUCAACUCCUCUUCCUAACU